rnacentral:rRNA from 1 species
UACGUAGGUGGCAAGCGUUGUCCGGAUUUACUGGGCGUAAAGAGCGCGCAGGCGGUCGAGUAAGUCGAAUGUGAAAGCCCCCGGCUUAACUGGGGAGGGUCAUUCGAUACUGUUCGACUUGAAGGCAGGAGAGGGCAGCAGAAUUCCCGGUGUAGUGGUGAAAUGCGUAGAUAUCGGGAGGAAUACCAGUGGCGAAGGCGGCUGCCUGGCCUGUUCUUGACGCUGAGGCGCGAAAGCCAGGGGAGCAAACGGG